rnacentral:lncRNA from 1 species
UAUCGCAAUUGUAAAAUGCUGAAAGGUCAGCUCCCACUCGUAGUGCCACCGCCUGGUGCUUUGAGGGGCCUGCUGUGUUUUGGAAUGUAAUGUCUCGGGCCAAGAAUCCUUCACCAACAACAGCUGCAUGACAUUUGACGUACGCAUAUUGAAAAAGAAAAAUAAACGUUAGUAUGAUGACAUGAGAUGCACGUAAAAACGUUUAAUGAGACAAAAAAAUGCAUGUGAACAAAGAGACAAAUUUAAUUAAUUAGUGAAUUGACAGUGUGAUUAAACGAUUGAAUUGAAGGAAAGAGACAUGGGAAGCUUCAUGGAAGCAUCAGUGGCUAGACAGUGGCAUCUAAAAGGGUUACGUAACAAAGUAUCAGAAGUCAGAAUCAAACUAUACAUGUUCCAAAAUAAUAAGUGUGUCUAUAGACUAUUAGUAUAUGUGAUGAAUAAAGCAAUCUAUGCUCAGCUGUAAACCACACUCUUCAGUCUUUACUCAUCAUCAACUUGUCCACACAGGGGGAAAAGCAAACCUGUGGUCAGUUGAAAUUUAUAUACACAGGCAUAUAUAAGUUAUAGCAGACACUGGUAUUAAUAAAGUGCUUUCUGGGUUACCAAUUAUUCAUUUUUUAGAAGGACAGAGUACAGAAAAUUCAAAAAGAUUGGCAUUUCGCAUGUGCUAGUUUUUCAUUUCAUUCCAAAAUUCAAAUAAUUGAGACUUUGUCCAGAUGGCAAGACCUUAUGUCACCCAUGUGCUAGCUUCAAAAAUAAAUAAAUGAUGGGACAAAGAAUCAGUCAUUCUUUGCUGAUUCAUCGCCUCUGAUUUGUGUGUGGACAAAGAGACCCAGAUUUAAUGAGUAUAAUCUGGGACCAACAACGGUAUGACAAACAAGUUAAUGGACAAAUGUCACCACAGUUUUAAAACUAGAAGACUUUUGUUCCAAGGGGCAAUUGAUUUAGUAUAGAGCUGAAAUAUAUCAAGGUUAAAAAAAAAAAAAAAAAGAAAUUAAUCUUUGAAAACUUGAGCAUAGAAGGUCCAGAACGCAAACUUCAAACAUCCAUUUGGUCCGGCUGACACUUCCUACCUAGCUGUACUAUGCUUCAUCUUUUAUGAAAUAUGAAGGAAAAAAAAAAUUCCUCAUGCCGUCGCUAAAAUUUACAUACAUACAUACAUACAUACAUACAUACAUAUAUAUAUAUAUAUAUAUAUAUAUAUAUAUAAAACUUCAGUGAAUAUUGACGCAGCACCAACUUCAUCAAUGGAGUAAUUAAUAUGGUUGGUUUCUCAACUAAUUCAUCGUGACUACAAAAGAAAAUGUAGGCGUGUUGAUACUAACGUAAUAUUAGUUACAAUCUUAUAUCAUCAGGAUUCCGGGCCAGUUUGUAACAGUUGUUUUUCAGAUUAAUUUUCUCAUAAAAAAAUAGUAAUGCAAUUAAUACAGUUAAUGAAAAAUGAACUUACCAACUGUAGCAGACUUGAAAGUUGUGCUUCCAUCAACCACAUUUCUACUUCCUGUGAUGAUAGUUCUAGUCCUCCCGUCACCGAUGAACAUUAUAUUUUUAUGCUUCUUUGUCACCUCAACAUUUUCCCGAUAAACACCGGCUUUAAU